rnacentral:rRNA from 1 species
AUUGAACGCUGGCGGCAGGCUUAACACAUGCAAGUCGAGCGGGGUGAUGGUGCUUGCACUAUCACUUAGCGGCGGACGGGUGAGUAAUGCUUAGGAAUCUGCCUAUUAGUGGGGGACAACAUCUCGAAAGGGAUGCUAAUACCGCAUACGUCCUACGGGAGAAAGCAGGGGAUCACUUGUGACCUUGCGCUAAUAGAUGAGCCUAAGUCGGAUUAGCUAGUUGGUGGGGUAAAGGCCUACCAAGGCGACGAUCUGUAGCGGGUCUGAGAGGAUGAUCCGCCACACUGGGACUGGGACACGGCCCAGACUCCUACGGGAGGCAGCAGUGGGGAAUAUUGGACAAUGGGGGGAACCCUGAUCCAGCCAUGCCGCGUGUGUGAAGAAGGCCUUAUGGUUGUAAAGCACUUUAAGCGAGGAGGAGGCUCUUUUGGUUAAUACCCAAGAUGAGUGGACGUUACUCGCAGAAUAAGCACCGGCUAACUCUGUGCCAGCAGCCGCAGUAA